AGAGGGUGCGAGCGUUAAUCGGAAUUACUGGGCGUAAAGCGCACGUAGGCGGCUUGGCAUGUCGGGUGUGAAAUCCCCGGGCUCAACCUGGGAACUGCAUCCGAAACUGCCUUGCUAGAGUAUGGGAGAGGGAAGUGGAAUUUCCGGUGUAGCGGUGAAAUGCGUAGAUAUCGGAAGGAACAUCAGUGGCGAAGGCGACUUCCUGGACCAAUACUGACGCUCAGGUGCGAAAGCGUGGGGAGCAAACAGGAUUAGAUACCCUGGUAGUCCACGCCCUAAACGAUGUCAACUGGGUGUUGGGGAAGCGAUUCCUUGGUACCGUAGCUAACGCGUGAAGUUGACCGCCUGGGGAGUACGGCCGCAAGGCUA
rnacentral:rRNA from 1 species